GACGUAGGGCGCGAGCGUUGUCCGGAUUUAUUGGGCGUAAAGAGCUCGUAGGCGGCUCGUUGCGUCGGCUGUGAAAACCCGCAGCUCAACUGUGGGCUUGCAGCCGAUACGGGCGGGCUGGGAUUCGGUAGGGGAGACUGGAAUUCCUGGUGUAGCGGUGAAAUGCGCAGAUAUCAGGAGGAACACCGGUGGCGAAGGCGGGUCUCUGGGCCGAUAUUGACGCUGAGGAGCGAAAGCGUGGGGAGCGAACAGG
rnacentral:rRNA from 1 species